AGGGAAUAUUGCGCAAUGGGGGCAACCCUGACGCAGCGACGCCGCGUGAGUGAAGAAGGCCUUCGGGUUGUAAAACUCUGUCCUCAGGGAAGAAGGAAGUGACGGUACCUGAGGAGGAAGCCCCGGCUAACUACGUGCCAGCAGCCGCGGUAAUACGUAGGGGGCGAGCGUUGUCCGGAAUUACUGGGCGUAAAGGGUGCGUAGGCGGCCUUUUAAGUCAGAUGUGAAAGACCACAGCUUAACUGUGGGGUUGCAUUUGAAACUGGAAGGCUUGAGUAUCGGAGAGGGUAGUGGAAUUCCAAGUGUAGCGGUGAUAUGCGUAGAUAUUUGGAGGAACACCAGUGGCGAAGGCGACUACCUGGACGAAAACUGACGCUGAGGCACGAGAGCUAGGGGAGCAAAC
rnacentral:rRNA from 1 species